rnacentral:rRNA from 1 species
ACGGGAGGCAGCAGUGAGGAAUAUUGGUCAAUGGGCGGAAGCCUGAACCAGCCAAGUCGCGUGAAGGAAGAAGGUAUUAUGUAUUGUAAACUUCUUUAGACGUAGAGAAAUAAGGCGCUCGUGAGCGCUGAUGCUAGUAUACGUAGAAUAAGGAUCGGCUAAUUCCGUGCCAGCAGCCGCGGUAAUACGGAAGGUCCGGGCGUUAUCCGGAUUUAUUGGGUUUAAAGGGAGCGUAGGCGGGCUUUUAAGUCAGCUGUGAAAUCCUGCGGCUCAACCGUGGAAUUGCAGUUGAUACUGGGAGUCUUGAGUGCACGCAGGGAUGCCGGAAUUCGUUGUGUAGCGGUGAAAUGCUUAGAUAUGACGAAGAACUCCGAUCGCGAAGGCAAGUGUCCGGAGUGCGACUGACGCUGAGGCUCGAAAGUGCGGGUAUCAAACAGGAUUAGAUACCCUGGUA